rnacentral:rRNA from 1 species
AUUGAACGCUGGCGGCAGGCCUAACACAUGCAAGUCGAACGCGUGGCGCACGGGAGUGUAACGUCUGGGAAACUGCCAGAAGGAGGGGGCAAACUACUGGAAACGGUAGCAAAUACCGCAUACCAUUGGAUGUGCCCAGGUGGGAUUAGCUAGUAGGUGGGGGAAAGGCUCACCUAGGCGACGAUCCCUAGCUGGUCUGAGAGGAUGAACAGCCACACUGGAACUGAGACACGGUCCAGACUCCUACGGGAGGCAGCAGUGGGGAAUAUUGCACAAUGGGCGCAAGCCUGAUGCAGCCAUGCCGCGUGUAUGAAGAAGGCCUUCGGGUUGUAAAGUACUUUCAUCGGGGAGGCGUUACCCUCAGAAGAAGCACCGGCUAACUCCGUGCCAGCAGCCGCGGUAAUUC